rfam:Myotis brandtii contig239659, whole genome shotgun sequence.
GCCGGUUUGGCUCAGUGGAUAGAGCGUUGGCCUUCAGACUCAAGGGUCCCAGGUUCGAUUCCGGUCAAGGGCA